rnacentral:rRNA from 1 species
UACCUGGUUGAUCCUGCCAGUAGUCAUAUGCUUGUCUCAAAGAUUAAGCCAUGCAUGUCUAAGUAUAAAAGUAUUCUAUACUUGAAACUGCGAAUAGCUCAUUAAAUCAGUUAUAGUUUAUUUGAUGGUGCCUUACUACAUGGAUACCCGUAGUAAUUCUAGAGCUAAUACAUGCCAAAAAAACCCAACCGCAAGGGCGGGUUGUAUUUAUUAGAUAAAAACCAUUACUCACAAGAGUUUUUGUGGUGAUUCAUAAUAACUGUUCGAAUCGCAUGCCGCAAGGCGGCGAUAGAUCAUUCAAAUUUCUGCCCUAUCAGCUCUCGACGGUAGUGUAGUGGACUACCGUGGCAUUAAUGGGUAACGGAGAAUUAGGGUUCGAUUCCGGAGAGGGAGCCU